rnacentral:rRNA from 1 species
GAUGAACGCUAGCGGCAGGCUUAAUACAUGCAAGUCGUGGGGCAGCAGGUCUGUAGCAAUACAGAUGCUGGCGACCGGCAAACGGGUGCGGAACACGUACACAACUUUCCUUUAAGUGGGGAAUAGCCCAGAGAAAUUUGGAUUAAUACCCCGUAACAUAGUGAAAAGGCAUCUUUUUAUUAUUAUAGCAGCAAUGCGCUUAAUGAUGGGUGUGCGUCUGAUUAGGUAGUUGGCGGAGUAAUAGCCCACCAAGCCUACGAUCAGUAACUGGUGUGAGAGCACGACCAGUCACACGGGCACUGAGACACGGGCCCGACUCCUACGGGAGGCAGCAGUAAGGAAUAUUGGGCAAUGGACGCAAGUCUGACCCAGCCAUGCCGCGUGGAGGAUGAAGGUCCUCUGGAUUGUAAACUUCUUUUAUCUGGGAAGAAAUCCAUCUUUUCUUGGGUGGUUGACGGUACCAGAUGAAUAAGCACCGGCUAACUCCGUGCCAGCAGCAGCCGCAGUAA